rnacentral:rRNA from 1 species
AGAGUUUGAUCAUGGCUCAGAUUGAACGCUGGCGGCAGCCCUUACACAUGCAAGUCGAGCGAGAAAGUUUCUUCGGAAACGAGUAAAGCGGCGGACGGGUGAGUAACGCGUAGGAAUCUACCAUUCAGUGGGGGAUAGCUCGGGGAAACCCGAAUUAAUACCGCAUAUACCCUAAGGGGGAAAGAGGGCCUAUCCUUGGAAGCUCUUGCUGUUUGAUGAGCCUGCGUGAGAUUAGUUUGUUGGUGAGGUAAUGGCUCACCAAGGCUACGAUCUCUAGCUGGUCUGAGAGGACGAUCAGCCACACUGGGACUGAGACACGGCCCAGACUCCUACGGGAGGCAGCAGUGGGGAAUAUUGGACAAUGGGGGCAACCCUGAUCCAGGCAUGCCGCGUGUGUGAAGAAGGCCUUCGGGUUGUAAAGCACUUUAGGUAAGGAAGAAAAGUUAUUGGUUAAUACCCAAUGACCAUGACAUUACUUACAGAAUAAGGACCGGCUAACUCCGUGCCAGCAGCCGCGGUAAUACGGAGGGUCCAAGCGUUAAUCGGAAUUACUGGGCGUAAAGCGCGCGUAGGCGGUUUGACAAGUUGGGUGUGAAAUCCCCGGGCUUAACCUGGGAACUGCAUUCAAAACUUUUAAACUGGAGUACGGGAGAGGAGAGUAGAAUUCAUGGUGUAGCGGUGAAAUGCGUAGAUAUCAUGAGGAAUACCAAUGGCGAAGGCAACUCUCUGGACCGUAACUGACGCUGAGGUGCGAAAGCGUGGGUAGCAAACAGGAUUAGAUACCCUGGUAGUCCACGCCGUAAACGAUGACAACUAGCCGUUGGACCUUCGGGUUCAGUGGCACAGCUAACGCAUUAAGUUGUCCGCCUGGGGAGUACGGCCG